rnacentral:lncRNA from 1 species
AGAUUCGGGGGCACAUGUAUCCCCUGGGGAUAUUGUGUGAUGCUGAGGUUUGGGAUGCAAAUGAUCCUGUCACUGAGAUGGAGUUUUGCUCUUGUUGCCCAGGUUGGAGUGCAAUGGCAUGACCUCAGCUGACUGCAACCUCCACGUCCCAGCUUCAAGUGAUUCUCCUGCCUCAGCCUCCCAAGAACGCACUCACUGACUGGCUUGGAAGGAGGAAUGCAAUAUAAGAGGAGAAUCAAUGCACGGAGGUGACCAAGAUUUCUUCCUUCACAACUUUGCCUAGAGCUGGCUGUAUCUGCAGUUUCAGUAUGGUGCCAGAUCAUCCUCUCCCUGGCCCAAGCUUUGAUGCAAUGAUAGCUUCCAGUUCACAUGAAAGCUAAAAUUUGUAUUUAAAGAAUAUACUUUUAGAAGUCUUAGCAUAGAGGAUUGAGGAAAAUGAGAACCAAUUAAUUCCAUCCUUCUUAAAAUUGCUUCUAUGUGUCCAAAUGUUUGAUAAUACUCUGCCUGAGUUUAUUUCACUUGCCAUGGAGUUGUGGACUUGAGCUUUUCAUCUACAUUUCAAGGGUGCCAUGUGAGAACGCUGCAAGAAGGCUCUUACCAGGUGCCAGCAACUUGAUCUUGGACUUUCCGACCUCCAGAACUGAAGGAGGAUCAUGGAGUCUGUACGACACACCUGACUCCCUCCAGCUGUUACUCAAGCCCAUGGCCACCACCCCAGUGUCCUUAACCUUGGGUGCACAUUGGAAUCACCUGGGGAGUUUUGAAAAAUCUUGAUGCCAGGCUGCACCACACAUCAAUUAAAUCAGAAGCUCUGGUGGAUGAGACCAAGGCAUCAAUAGUUUUGAAAAUGCUCCAGGUGAUUGAUAAUAAGGGGGCUGUUGGAGACCAUUACGUCACAACCAUUCAUCUUUAAGGAUUUAACUGGAAGAGCAAACAACUCUUUCUAGAAUGUCAUUGCCAUCAGAUGAAUGCCCGGCUUGAGAAGUGGCUUCCUGUUAUUACGGUGUGAAGUCUAAUUCUUUCACUCUAAUUUCUUAGACCACAUCUACCCAUUUUGCUUCUUCCUGUUUCCCGGCAUGCACUCUGUUGCAGUCAGGCUGCUUCCUGCCUGUUGCCCCACCCACUCCUUCAUGCUGUGUCUGUUCAUGCUGCUUUUUCCACUGGAUCCUCUCUGUCUCCUCUCUCCCCAGAAAAAGUACAAUCAUUCCUCAAGGCACCAUUCAGGUCACAUCCCCUCCAUGAAACUUCUAACUACUCUGGACCACAGUGAUCUUGCCAUUCUCUAAGGCUCCACUUCUCUCACAGGACCACAAUGGCUACAUGUCCUCCUGGCCCUUCUGUAAUUUUCUACUCCAUGCUAACCCUUGCUCUGAGGUGCCAAGGAGAGUGCACACAGAUGCCCAACACUGACAGACCAAACCCUAUAGCAUAGAGAACUGACAUCCUACUUCCUGUGUAAACACAGGAUCCAUCAGAACCUAAAGGCAGUUUUGAUGGUUAAUUUUAUGCAUCAACUUGACUGAGCUACGGGGUGCCCAGACAUUUGGCCAAACAUUAUUCUGGGUGUGUCUGUGAGGGUGCUUAUGGAUGAGAUUAACAUUUCAAUCAGUAGACUAGUAAAGCAAAUGUUCUUCCCUGAUGUGGGUGGGCCUCAUCCAAAGAUAAUUGAGAAGAAACUUCUCCUGCCUAACUGUUGUUAAGCUGGGACAUCAGUGUUCUCCUGCCUUCAAACUCAGUCUUAAACUGUAACUUCUCCCUUCAGUUCUGUUGGUUCUCAGGCCUUUGGACGCAGUCUGAAAUGAUGCCAUCAGCUCUCCUGGGUCUCCAGCUUGCCUACUACAGAUCUUGAGGCAUGUCAACCUCUACAACCACAUGAGCCAAUUCCUUAUGAUAAAUCAUAAACACACACACACCGCAAACACACACACACAUUUCCAUCCUAUUGGUUCUGUUUCUCUGCAGGGUCCAGAUUAAGACAGCAAUAUAGACUGUGCUCAAACACUGCUACAUUUACCAUCUCAAGAUGGAAGGAGCCCUCAAAGUAGCUCUUUAAAUGUUUGCAAUGUGCCGGGGUAGUCAGCUGACCUUUUUCUGCCCCUGUUUAAUUGUCAGAAAAACAUAAGUUGGAUUUAGUGCUCCUUGAAGAAUAAUUCAUCUUUAAAGUUCUGUAACUCUGAUUUUUAUUCUACUCAACAGAUGGACUUUGGCCCAUUGAUUUAGCACCAUGUCAGCAUCAUUAAAUUUAACUAAACAAA